GUUGACCUGGCUCAGAUUGAACGCUGGCGGCAGGCCUAACACAUGCAAGUCGAGCGGAAACGAAGAGGUGCUUGCACCUCUGGCGUCGAGCGGCGGACGGGUGAGUAAUGCUUGGGAAUAUGCCUUAUGGUGGGGGACAACAGUUGGAAACGACUGCUAAUACCGCAUGAUGUCUACGGACCAAAGUGGGGGACCUUCGGGCCUCACGCCAUAAGAUUAGCCCAAGUGGGAUUAGCUAGUUGGUGAGGUAAUGGCUCACCAAGGCGACGAUCCCUAGCUGGUUUGAGAGGAUGAUCAGCCACACUGGGACUGAGACACGGCCCAGACUCCUACGGGAGGCAGCAGUGGGGAAUAUUGCACAAUGGGCGCAAGCCUGAUGCAGCCAUGCCGCGUGUGUGAAGAAGGCCUUCGGGUUGUAAAGCACUUUCAGUAAGGAGGAAAGGUUAAGUGUUAAUAGC
rnacentral:rRNA from 1 species